UACGUAGGGGGCAAGCGUUGUCCGGAUUUAUUGGGCGUAAAGAGCGUGUAGGCGGCCGUACAGGUCAGCUGUGAAAACUCGAGGCUCAACCUCGAGACGUCGGUUGAAACCGUACGGCUAGAGUCCGGAAGAGGAGAAUGGAAUUCCCGGUGUAGCGGUGAAAUGCGCAGAUAUCGGGAAGAACACCCGUGGCGAAGGCGGUUCUCUGGGACGGUACUGACGCUGAGACGCGAAAGCGUGGGGAGCGAACAGG
rnacentral:rRNA from 1 species